CAUGAGGAGAGACGCUGAGCGACAGGCAGAUGGAGAAGCAUGCGAGGCGAGCAGCAGAGAGAGACAAAAGCGCGUGGAGAAAGUGCGGCGUGCCAUGUGCUCAGAUCCUGCAGUGCUCCAUUUGCUGAAGGUGUCUGAGCAAAGACCAAAGACCACAGUGCUGCCAUCCCACCACGUGUGACAGCCAGCCAAUCAUAAGGAUCUCACCGCCUCAGUGUCAGGACAGGGUGGGAGUGACGUGCCCCUCCUCCACCUGUUCUUCGCAAAUGACCCUCACAGCCUCCCGUCCUGCUGGCAAAAGUUUAAAGAGUGACGCCGGAAUCCCACUCGGAGGCAGAGGAGCACGGGACAGCGCCGGGACAGUAUAAAACGGAGGACACAUGGAGGAGAUGACUGGGAGAGGAGGAGUGACUGGGGGUCCCCCUCUUCAUUCCAAACGUGGCCAAGAAGAAGCUCGGGUCAACACGGUCAAGCUUUUCCCAGACGUUAAGAGAAAUAUUUGUUGGACACACAAAGUCUUUGAGAGGUGAGUAUUCACCUGCGUCGUCCUUAUGUCUGUAGAGAAAAAUAUUUGUUGUUGCUUUUGGAGUGCAAAUUAUCCAUUUCAUAUAUGAGUACAUAACAAUUAAAACUACAUUAUUAUUAUUAUUUCUAGUCUUUUUUUCUUCUUUUAUUAUGCUUUAUGUCUUCGAGUAGCUCUCAGUGCUGCCCAGCACUUUGCAGCACAAAGUGCUUCACUGAUCUCUAAAUUCAUGCUUGCAUUAGAAAUAUCCUAAUGAUUGAAAAAGCAAGAAAGAAACGGCGACUUCCAAGUGUCCGCUGUUAAAGGCGUUAGCUUGGCCUCUUAAGACAUUCCAUCGUAAGCUUUGAAAGCUUCUUCGGAUAUUCCUACACUUGUGCGGCGCAAAAGUGCAGCGUGAUAAUGACAACGUGACUGAGAGAGAAGAGAGCCUCAAUGGCUGGAAUGUGUCAUUUGGGGAAAAGCCCGGCACAUUUGUCCUUAAUAAAAGCAACAUUGGAAUCAAGUGACCGUCAGCUAUUUGAUCAACGUGGCGGUCGCAAGCUCUCAGGUAUGCGGCGUCGGGCUCCUCACCUACGUGUACGUGGGCUAUUUUAUUAAGAGCGGCUCACUGCUUCCAUUAUGUGUCGUAGCUGGAGCCGGCAUGGCCUCGGGGCUAAUGGGAAAGAAUGACAGGAAUCUGCGACUGAUAAU